GAAGUGGGCCAGACCGCCGCUGGUGCGAGGCCUGAAAGGGUGCACUGGAGGAAGGUCCGGACUGCACAGGGCGGCGUAGCAGCUAACGGCUGUCCACCGUGAGGUGAGGAUCAGAGCAACAGAGACGAGUCGGUCGGGUGCCGCAAGGCGGUCGGCCGGGUGAAACGGGCAAUCUCUACGCGCAGCAACACCAAAUAGGCCGGCGAUGAUGUGGCUCCGCGGAGCCGGCGGGUAGGUGGCAUCGAGCCGUCGCAGCGAUGCACGGCCCAGAGGAAUGGCGGUCACGGCCGGGACGUCGCAAGACGCACCGGCUGCACAGAAUCCGGCCUAUCGGCCCGCUUCACAC
rnacentral:RNase_P_RNA from 2 species